rnacentral:rRNA from 1 species
UACGUAGGGGGCUAGCGUUGUCCGGAAUCAUUGGGCGUAAAGCGCGUGUAGGCGGCCCGGUAAGUCCGCUGUGAAAGUCGGGGGCUCAACCCUCGAAAGCCGGUGGAUACUGUCGGGCUCGAGUGCGGAAGAGGCGAGUGGAAUUCCUGGUGUAGCAGUGAAAUGCGCAGAUAUCAGGAGGAACACCGAUUGCGAAGGCAGCUCGCUGGGACGUUACUGACGCUGAGACGCGAAAGCGUGGGGAGCAAACAGG